rnacentral:lncRNA from 1 species
GGAAGGGGCUCCCCCUGACUCGGGGCCCCGGGCGGAGGGUGGAGGGGGCUCCCCCUGACUCGGGGCUCUCGGCGGAGGGUGGAAGGGGCUCCCCCUGACUCGGGGCCCCGAGCGGAAGGUGGAGGGGGCUCCCCCUGACUCAGGGCCCACAAGGUUGACUUUCCAUCAUCCUCCUGGGAGGACCCAGACAGAUAGAUGAGACGCCAGUUUUUCCACUUGAAUCGUAAUCUUCAAACAGGCGAGGAUUGUUGACAAACACAUUGCUGAUGAUGGGAGAAGAUGGAUGUAACCCGGGGGGUCCUACAGCGGGGAGCUGGUUAAGGAAUCCACCGACCUCAGCUGCAGAGCGCCCCUUCCAGACUCGCCGUCGCCUUUCGAUAGAGGGUGCCACCGGAUGGAGACAACACGGAAGGAGAGACAAGCCUUACAGAGACAACGUCCAGCGCCAGGCAGGACGCCGGAGGAAAGAGCCUGUAGGUGGUGCUGGUGGGAGAAGGAAAUGGUACAAGCGCGGCGGAAAACCUGUGGCAGUUACCCAGUGACAUUGACACACGUGCUCUCCGAUUCCGCCAAAUCACGGGGAGCACAGCCCACAGAAAGGCCUGCACACCCCUGAAAGAUGCUCACAGGGACGCCACGGCCCUGCUCCUCCUCACGAGGGGAGAGGGAAAUGGCUGUAAUACCCAUCUAUGGUAGAAAAGAUCGAUAACUUGGAAACGGGUAAAUAUUCAGGAUGAAAUGUUAUCCCGUAACCCACAUGAACCCUCUGUAAUUCCUCUCAACAGUGCGGAUGAACCUCGCAAAGAAAAUGUGCGAAAGGAACUAACUAGAAAAUACAAAGCACUGUACGAUUCUAUUUAUAUAAUGUGCAAAAACGAAUGCGCUGAUAAAAGCUAAGAUUGUAGUUAUCUCUGGGCAUGGGCAGAGGACAGGAAGGACUUCUGGACGCGGUAAUGUUCUCUUUAUUAAUCUGGUGACACGCGCGUCCCGCUGAGUGAAAGUUCACUGAGCUGUACCUUGCAUGCACCAUUUUGUGAAUAUGUCAGACAUACAUCAUUAGUAAUUGACUUGGAGAAAUAAUAAAAGGAUCUGCAAGGAUACAGCCAGAGAAAUACAAAUCCAACGAGUAAGAAGUAAAAAUUAUUGUUAGACAAUGUAGAGUUUAAGGUUAAAAUAAUUACAUUGAAUAGAGUGGCUGAUUGUAUAUCAAUAAAACAUCAACCUGGUGAAUGUGGCGAAAAACCUGGCAGCUAAAUGCAUGAAGCAAGAAUGGUGGUAAGCACGAGAAGGUCCUGAGAAAAAUCCAAUGUGCCAUUUCAAUGCAUCUAUCUUACAAUUGUAUUUUUUAUUUUUUGAGAUGGAGUCUUGCUCUGUCACCCAGGCUGGAGUGCAGUGGUGCAGUCUCUGCGGUGACUGCAGAGGUCACCGCAACCUCUGCCUCCCAGGUUCAAGAAGUUCUCCUGCCUCAGCCUCCUGAGUAGCUGAGAUUACAGGCAUGUGCCACCACGCCUGGCUCAUUUUUGUAUUUUUAGUAAAGACGGGGUUUCAUCAUGUUGACCAUGCUGAUCUGGAACUCCUGACCUCAGGUGAUCUCCCCGCCUUGGCAUCCCAAAGUGUUGGAAUUACAGGUGUGAGGCACCGCGCCCGGCUUAUCUUAGAAUUUUAAAGAUGUAGAGACAAACAACCAAAUGCAUAUGAGAAUUGUGUGAUAAAACCCACAAAUGUGUUGAAGUUAGAUAGAGGCUUACAUGCCUGAAGCAGAGAAUGUGCAUUUUUAUACGGAUAUAAAAAUUUAGCAAAAUUCCUUCAUACAUGUGGGCACACACACACGGACCUGAACAAAUCCCGUAAUGCUGAUAUGAUCCACCCCACUCUUUGAUCAUAAGUCAAUCACAUUUAAAACAAAUUAUGUAAAUAACAUUCUGGAAAUUGCUGGUGCUCACUCAUAUUUCUGGUUCUUCCAUACGUCCUGUGUUUCAGGAAAGACAGGCCAGGUCAUGUGACUUGCUUUGGCCAAUGGCGUGCAAGGGGAGGGGAGGGACCCGCCUCCCAGAAGAUGCUCUGAGGACCCCUCAUGGUCCCCAUCUAGUCUCCAGCAGUGGUGGUUGCGGAUGCUUGUGGGCAGGUGGAGGUGCCCUGGAACCGAGGGAGCUCAGAGGGGAAAAUUCAGCAACAUGACUGGAUAUAAAGGAAACAUAGGCCUGACACGGUGGCUCACGCUUGUAAUCCUAGCACUCUGGGAGACCAAGGUGGGCCGAUCACCUGAGGUUGGGAGUUCGAGACCAGCCUGGCUAACGUGGUGAAACUCCACCUCUACUAAAAGUACAAAAUUAGCCGGGUAUGGUGGCACGUGCCUGUAACCCCAGCUACUCGGGAGACUAAGACAGGAGAAUCACUUGAACCCAGGAGGUGGAGGUUGCAGUGAGCCGAGAUUGUGCCAUUGCACUCCAGCUUGGGCAACAGUGCGAAACUUCGUCUUAAAAAAAAGUUUUCUCCCUUCUAGCAAUCAGUGCUAGAAAUAGAACUAGAAAUAUACUCUUUUGCACACACACAGGCACAAACAUAGGACAGUAUUUCUCUAGAAAGAGCACACAUGAAGAGAAGUACAGGACAUUACUAAAUGACAAGAGAAUAUCUACAAAACGAAACCUCUCAUGUGUUUUGGGGUAAGGAUACAUUAUGAAAACUAUCACUUCUCCUAAAUGAAUAUGUAAAUUUACAGCAAUUCCAAUUAGAUUCCUGCGUGGCCCCCGUGAGGCCCAACUGCGGAUCAGAUAUCCCCACAUGACAGUGGUUUCAGCAAGAAAGAAUUGCAUUUAGUGGUGUUUACCUUUUAAAACCUGCAUGAAUGUUCUUAUGAUAGAAAUGAAAAUGGAAUCACAGAAGAUGAAGGGCGAGGGAGGCCCAUUGUGGGCAGCCUCAGGGAGGCUCAAGAGGGAGCCGCCAUCAUCCUUACCGCCAACCUCCUCCUCCUCCACUGGGCUGUCAAUGUCUCAGAGGGGGGCUUCUGGUGCCCUCGGGCUCAGGCCAGCUCCUCCUUCCUCUCCCCUCCCAUGGAAGGACACCUCAUGACAGGACCCCCUUGUGUCAUUGAAAUCCAUGCACUUUAUGAGUCUAAGUCGUUUGUCUUCACGGGAAAUGUUAUUAUUCCCCAUCAAGCACUGAAACCAGGAAUCCCUGGGUGUAAACGCAAGGUCACUGCCUGAUCAACAGCACACACGCAGCCAUGCUGCUGGAUUCGGCCUCUGCAGUUUGGGAGGCUAGAGAGGCUUCAGCGUAUGUCGCCGGCUCUGAACUCCAGACGAUUCAAAUACUAAGAAGAAAAAUGGGGGCUGACUCCUGUCUGAGGCUGCUGUCCGGGGUGAUUUGAGCCGGGCUCCGAGGGCCUUCCCUGAGAGCCUCCCGCUCUGUGCGGACGGAGAGCCUCAGUGGCACUAGGACCCACAUGGAUGCCCAGUGUCCUGGACCCCUGUGGACAUGCUUUCUGCCCUGUGUGGCCUCGGACCAGGAGCCUGGGGGCGUCUGCUGCCUCUGUCUGCCUGGCAGACGCUGCUUGUCUGGGACAGCCCAGCUCCACUAGGCCAGCCCACGGCCACCAUGGCCACAGAGGAUCAUGGCUCUGAGGGCUUUUCCAGAAUGAAAGGUGGGAGGAAGGAAGCUGGGCUGGGUUGCUUUUCCUACACAUUCAUUCAUUCACUCCUUCAGUGAUUUGUGUAACUGCCAGUUUCUCCGGGGAGGGAUGGACGGCUGCUGGGGUCCUCUCUUUCCUGCCUUUCACCUCCGCACCUGCUGCAGGUGUGGGGUUGGCCGUCUGAGUUCCUCCACUGGCUCCUCACGCAUCAGAGAAGAGUGUGUCGCUACUCUCACCCUAGGCGCUGGAAAGCAGAAACACCGAGGUGCGGGAGUAGGUCAUCUUUACUAAAAAUGGUAGGAAAAGAAAACAGUGAGCCAAAGGGGGAGAUGUGGUGAAGGUGCCCACUGUCACCUGGACGUGAGGCACGGGCCCCGAUGCUGGCAGCUGUGCCCGAGCAGGUGGAUUUGGGAUCCUCAUGCAGCUCUGGGCUCUGGCGUCGUGACUGGGAUGGGGUCCUGGUGGCUUCUCCUCUGAGGGAAAGAGAGGGAGGGCAGCACGGAUUCCUCCCCAGCGACCAACCUCCUUUAGACGCGCUUAGACUUCCUGACUGCGUCCCGCUGACGUCGCAAUUGAAAAGCACAUAGGUGAUAACAACAGAGGCGGUUUUUUAGUGGAGACUCUUACAGCCAAACAGAUGUGGAAAGCAAGAGCUGCCUCUGACCUUUGCUUAGAAUAUCAAUUUUCCCAUUCUGAUUUUUGCUUUUCCGGGAAUUGUUUUGUUUUGUUUUUAUCUAGAGUAAGAGGGAUUAUACCUAAUUAGGCACUGUCACUGCCAAGGAAUUAAUUGCAAUCUCUGAAUAUUUUGGCUUUUUUGAGCUGUGCGGCAAGUUUUUAAUUACUGUCUACUGACUCUGCCAUUUUUGUCAACAACAAAUCCGUCCUCCUCGCUGUGGCUGCAAAUAGUGCCGUCUUCACUCAGCAUCUUCCACAACCUUGGCCUUCCCCUUGGGUGACCAGUGUCUGGAAGUCACCCACUGCCUUCCCGUGGAGGUCAGAUCCCUUAACUCACUGAAUAAUUAGAUUUCCAUAAAAAUCCAAGAGAGCCACGUCUGACAAGUGACCGCGUUUCUGUGCCAUUUACGAUCCCCACACACCUUGACCACUCUUUAGGGAUGGCUCUUUAUAUUUUAAUGAAAGAAAGCCAAUUAGCUAUAAACUGAUUACUAAGAACAUAAUCAGGGUCAUUUCUUUGCAACAAAUCAAUCAACAAAAUGGUAAUUAUGGAUGGCCUUUUAGACUUGGAUUAAUCUAUUAGUAAUUAAAGUGAGUGCAAAUCCAACCUCGAUCUUAAUUGUAGCCAAAAGGCACAGACGUCUUUUCGUUGACCGAUAAGAUGCUGUUAUUUAGCUUCAUGCGGAAGGAAAACCCAUCAAUUGUCUGGAACUUCAUGGCUCUAAUAACACGUUCAGAGGGGGUCUUUGGAAGCGUUCAUGGGAAAUGUAACUGGGGUUAUGCUUUGGAAAGAU